rnacentral:rRNA from 1 species
UACGUAGGGUGCGAGCGUUGUCCGGAUUUAUUGGGCGUAAAGAGCUCGUAGGUGGUUUGUUGCGUCGGGAGUGAAAACACGGGGCUUAACUUCGUGCUUGCUUUCGAUACGGGCAGACUGGAGGAAGGUAGGGGAGAACGGAAUUCCUGGUGGAGCGGUGGAAUGCGCAGAUAUCAGGAGGAACACCGGUGGCGAAGGCGGUUCUCUGGACCUUUCCUGACGCUGAGGAGCGAAAGCGUGGGGAGCAAAC